rfam:Schistosoma rodhaini strain Burundi genome assembly, scaffold: SROB_scaffold0000430
AUCUAGCUGACGAGUCCCAUAUAGAACAAAAGGAGCAUCCUGGAU